rnacentral:rRNA from 1 species
UACGGGGGGGGCAAGCGUUGUUCGGAAUUACUGGGCGUAAAGGGCUCGUAGGCGGCCAACUAGGUCAGACGUGAAAUCCCUCGGCUUAACCGGGGAACUGCAUCUGAUACUGGAUGGCUUGAGUUCGGGAGAGGGAUGUGGAAUUCCAGGUGUAGCGGUGAAAUGCGUAGAUAUCUGGAGGAACACCGGUGGCGAAGGCGGCAUCCUGGACCGACACUGACGCUGAUGAGCGAAAGCCAGGGGAGCAAACGGG